CGCACACAAAGCCCCUUUCACGGACUCGGGCUCGACUUCUGCUGCUCCGGAGUGGCAUGUCAGGGGAACAACUGAUCGCCCCUCUGGUGUGCUGGCACUGGGGUUCAAGGUACUCAGGCACCCUCAAGUCACAGGAGUUUAUCAUGAAGAAGGCUGUAAGGCCAAGAAUUAAGGCCAACAGUCACCUGUCUCAUCGCGUCCUGUUCUUUGUAGCCAUCGCGUUCCUAUGGAUACCCUAAGGCCCAAAUUAAAUAUUACAGAAUUUUUGUUUGGCAGAGAUUGCCAACAUUAAGCCACACAACUGGUAUCACAAGACAUUGGCAGGUGAUGGCGCACCAACCCCGGGGCCAGAAGACAAGGGUCAGAAGCUCAUGGGUCAUGCCAGCUACCACUCUCUUCCUCAGGCCUUUCGUCGUAUCAGUGAGCAGCCCCCAGGGGCUCUUUGCUGCCACUGACUCCUCUCCCUGAGCCUGGACUCCAUUACUACUACCCUCCUCAGCACUCUGGCUGACUCUCUGUGCCUCCAGCCUUGUAUCUUCUGAUGUGUCUACAUCACAAAUGUGACCAUGCGAUCUCCUGCUUAAGUCCUUCCAGGAGCUCCCCACACCUGCAGGGUCAUGCUCAAAGAGCACCACAGGUGACAGGCACGGUGUGACCCAGCUCUUGCCACCACUCCAUGGGCCGUCCACUGACUUGACCUGGCCACAUCCAGCUCCUGCUCACCACUGGGCCGUCCACUGACUUGACCUGGCCACAUCCAGCUCCUGCCACCACUCCAUGGGCCGUCCACUGACUUGACCUGGCCACAUCCAGCUCCUGCUCACCACUCCAUGGGCCGUCCACUGACUUGACCUGGCCACAUCCAGCUCCUGCCACCACUCCAUGGGCCGUCCACUGACUUGACCUGGCCACUCAAGCCACUGGUAUUCCCUAGGUGGGCCCACCUCUCACGACAUGACACAGGAAGGCAGACGGUCCCACGGAAGGAACAAAAACCUCUUCACCUUGAAGACACAGUUCAAGCAUCCCCUUCUCCAAUUUUUUCCUCCUGAGUCUCCAAGUGGAACAACUCCAUCAUUGUGGCCCUAUCCCCGCGUAUAGGCCUCUGGCUCAGUACGGGUAAACUGCUAUUGGUCUUCUUAACUUCCAAGUUCUGCACAGAAAUGCACAGGCCCUGAAGGCAGCUGGCUCCAUGAGCCUUGGGACAGAGAGAAAAGCUCUGAGAAGGAAGCUUUGACACCAGAAGGGAGUCUGUCUCCAGGAAAUAACAAAAACAGACUUACAUCAAGAGGAUCACUGGAUGGAACAAAACAAAGCAAAGAGAAAGUUUAAAAUUUUCUCAGAGAGUUAAAAAUAUGAAAAAGGGAGAUGAGAAUAAAAUUUAUGGGGCUACUAUGAAUUCAUGAUUUUUAAUUAUUUAUAUCAUCUAUCUCCAUCUCCCUCAAUAUUUCCAUAUAUCUUUAUCUACAGUUAUUUCCUUGCUCUGUCUGCCAAGAAAAGCCUAGAAGCAAUGACAUUCCAGUAGCAAUGGGCACUCAGCACCCAGAUCUUGAUUUCUUAAAAUCAUUUUCCAUUCAAAGGAAUCAAGAUUCCCUGGGAAAAAAAUGGCUGAUUCCACAGCUGGGGCUGGGAAGAUACACCUUAAGAACACCUUAAGCCAGAAAGUAAGAAAGUGUUUAAAAAAAAAAAAAAUGAAAGGGACAUAUUAAAAGACAUAGGAGCCUGCUAGAAAUCUGGGAUGGUUUGAGAAUCAAAGCAAUACCUUGCAACUUUGAGUAAAUAGGAAUCCAUUCAACCAUACCUAUAAACAAACAUUAAUAAGUAGGGAGGAAGAUGCUUUCCUUUAGAAGUAGAAUGUCAAACAAGUGUAGAAGAAACUAUGGAGUUAGAAAAUCACACUGAAUGAAGAACAAAGUAUGUAAUGACAUCAAAGUGUCCCCCCACAAGUAACUUGUUACUUACAAAGGGGAGAAGUCAACUUAGAAAGGGGAAGUCUGGCAGGCAUUAACUUAACCAAGUGAUCACAGAGCUAACGUCAAUAUUAAUGGGAUCAACUAACAUCACCUGCCAACUUAAGACACACACAGAGGACACAUCACUUCUGUGAUGUUCGCGCCCGACAUGCCAAACCCUAAUCUAGUCCAUGAGACCAAUCCAAUUUGAGGAACAUUCUACAAAAUGUCUGGCUGUAUUCUUCAAAAAGGCCAAGGUAAUAAAAGGAAAAACAUCUGAAUUGAGAGACACGUGUUAAGCAUGUAUCACAACUAAAUGUAACACGAUUCUGCAUCAGGAAAAAGGGAAUCACCGUAAGGAACAGCACCAGGACACCUGACACCAUUUAAACGGCGAGCAGGGGUAGAUGACAGCAUUCCGUCAGUGUCAGCGUGACGUCAGCAUUAUACUUCCUGCUUCUGACAAGUGGUUACGGUUAUAAAUUAUGAGACGAAGUCCUUUUUCUUAAGGAAAGGCUUACUGAAGUUUUGGGGUAGAGGGGUAACAAUAUCUACAACUGACUCUCAGUGAUUGAGAAAAUACAACAUGUAAAUACAGAUGAAGCAAAUUGUCAGUCAUAAUGCAAAUGGGGUAAAAUAUAAGCACUUGGUAAGUGGGAGUUCUUCGUGAUAUUCCGGUAACUUUUCUGUAAGUUUAAAAUCAUAUUAAAAUUCUAAAAGUUCCCAAACCAACCAGCAAUCCAACAACAAGGGAUGAGUCAGAAUUAUGGUACAGUCACUCUAUUUAAAAUUACAGAGCGUUACAAAUAAACAUCUGUGAAAAUACAUAACGAAAUAGAAAAAAUGCUUAUAGCUUAUACAGGGUUGAAUGAUGAAAGCCGGAUACAAAGUAUUUUAUGUGUCCAUUAUUAUAACUAAGCAGAGCAAGCACAUAAGUAAGAUUGGAAGGGUAAUAUCAAAGGUGGUAAUAAGGAUAUUAGGGGAAGGGAGAGACGAGUGACUUUUUCUUAAAAAAAAAAAAAAAAAGAAAAAAUCAGCAUAUUGAAAAAAAUACUUGCCAGCAUAGGCACUCCCUCAUCCGGCAGGUAUGCUGGAGAGUACUGGAGAUGAGUGCUAUUGACCGCCUUCUCUUGCCUCAGGCUGCCCCUCCCCAAACCUUGACACCUAUCCCUCACCCCAAGAACAGACACUGGGUCUGGAGCGCCCUCACAAGGGCAUCUGAGGGUGGUGGGGCUAGGAGUAUGAAGCUCCCCUGCAGGCAGUCUGCCAGCCCUGCCCCACACAGUGGCUUCAGUCUGCUCUGAGCAGCGAGCUGAGCAGCUGUGGACGCAGCUGAGGGGAAGCCCAGCAAGGGCACAUCUGAGACUGGGCCUCCCUGGCCAGGCCAGCACAGAGA
ensembl:lncRNA